AAGAACCGUUGGAUUCCUUUUGAAUUGUUUUAGAGGUUUUGCCCUAAAUUAGUUGUCAAACUCAGAACCUCACCAUUUUCGCCGGAAAUGAACAAGGAAAGCAUCGGUUUCUUGCUCGAGAAUAGGCAAAUUUUAAAGAAUUACAGAAUUUUUUUUUGAAAAUACAAGAAACGCAUCACGGUUGUAUGUAUGUAUGUUUCAAAUAAUGUAUUACUAAUUAAUGUGUUCAUUCUCUUUUCUUACUGUUUUUACGAAUUGUUUUCAUACCUUAUUAUUGUAUUCAGCCUGUGAGUAGGAAAUUUGUCAAAUUUUAAAUUUCUUUUUGUCGCGGAUUGCCGCUCGCUUUAAGAGGCGGGGUAUCUGUGACGGUAAUUUUUCCGUCACUUUAAGUUUAAGAUAAUUAAUCACCUGAAGAAAAUUGUUUAUUAUAAACCGUGCCGAAAUUUAAUAAUGUAUUUAUUUUGUAAUAAAUUCGAUGGAUACAGCUUGAGCGCGCCGCCUUGGGGAAGGGGGAGAGAGGGGAAGAUGCAUCCAGCAAACGCUACGACUUUUUGCCCUCUAGCGGGGGUUGACAGAAACACGCACUUUUCGGGAGCUUCAGGAACCGGUAGCGACCCGGUCCCGGAGCCCAGUUCUGCCUUGAUGCUUCCCAGCUCAUCACCAGCCCUAUCCUCCUCCCUCCAGCCAGUUCGUUCUCGCCAGCGCUUAGAGUUGUUCUUAGCCUCCGCUUUUCGAAAUCUUCCCAGCCUCACAGCCUAGCUUUUCUCUCGUUUGGAUUUUUGCUCCUCCAGCUUUAUAGCUUUCUCUCUCUCUCUCGUUUGCAUCUCCAUUUUGGUAACGUUUUGCUUUUCCACUCUCUCUCAUUCUUAUUAGUUUUAGUUAUCACUCGAGAUUUCGCUUUGACGAGUGAGCAAUUUUUCCUUCAUGCGCAGUAACAGGUGUUUGUGUUCUCAUUCUCCCCGUUUGCAUUACGCCGUCGCCGUGUAGUUGCCUUACGCCUUGCACAUUAGCUGAAAGUCAAGUUUUGUUCAUACGCCGUCGCCACGCCUUUUAGUAUGUCUAGCUAAGCACCACAUUUUGAGCCGCGGACAUGUGAGUUUGCCAUGGGGCCUCCGCCCCCCCACGCUUUGGACUUGGCAGCCACUAUCCAUCCUAGCCUUAUUUCUAUCAGCAUGUGAGUAGUAGUGUAUAUUUGUAGGGGGUAUCCAGGAUAGGUUAAGUUCAUUCUUUCUCUAGUUUUCCAUUUUUCUCUCAUUUUCUCUCAGGUUUUUCGCCCUUUUCCCCAUAAAAGGUCGUGGUCCCUCGUGCCAUUUUCUUUGCCAUUUAGCCACUAUUUUCACCCCUUCAUUUUUCUCUCAUGCCAUUUAGGGGGUCGAGCAGGGCCGCAGUCCCCCAGGUUCGAUUUUCCUCACAGCUACAGCGUUGAGCGUAGCAGGUGAUUGCGACAGUAGCGCAUUCUGUAGGGACGGCGGAGAAGCGAAGUACCGCAGUGCACCGGUCGGCCGCGCGCCACUCGAGCGCUCUCGCGGAGCGAUCUAGAAGCUCAAACUCUUAGGAAAAAGUCAGCUAUUUAUUAUUUUAGCUUAAUUAAUUAAUUGUUUUCACCAAAUUUAUUUAAGGAAGUCCCAAAGCUGACCUAGGAGAAUAGUUUGAUGUAAGGAAAACCUUAUUUAAUUGUAUAUUUAAUUUACUGGAGUCGAAUGAAGUUGGUCGACGCGUACGGAAGCUAGAUGAAAUGGAUUUGAUGGGGUCCCGACCGGUACAUCAUCGUUUCAUCCGGCUAGACUGAGAUGCGCGAGUGUCUAUCAGUUUCGUCGGAUCCUUUCUCUUGAAAUGCUGUGCACGUGUUGAGUAGCACGCUUUCAAGAGAGAGCUUGAAUACUCAUGUUAAAUUAUUUACUUGUGUGAUGCAUCCAAAUUCGGGUAGCUCCUAUUGUAAAUAAUUAACUGAGCUCGUUUAGAAAUUGUUGUCUCCGAAUUUAUUUUCAUUACACCAUUUAUUUUAUCGUCUUAAAUUCAUGUUUAAAACAGACUGUAUCUUAUUUUUAGAAAAAUAAUUUUCUCAUAACCGAUCACAAUCCAAGUGAGUGCACGUGUUGAGUGGCACCUGGGAUUUGGUUGUUAUCUGAAUUUAUGUUGUGAAUAUUUAUUUUGAAUUUUGAAUCUACCAUUCAAGAGUGAGUGCACGUGGUGAGUCGCACCGGUUGUUUGGGAAAUUCAAGAUCAAAUAAAUAAACCAAAUUUUAAUUGAAAAGUCUGAGAAUUUCGUCAAUUUUGUUACGAAAGAAAUUUAUAUUUAGUUGAAUUUAAUUUUUGCCCUUUCAAAAUUAAAUCUCUCAUAGCGUAUCAAAUCCCAUGAGUGCACGUGGUGAGUAGCACCUGGAUUUUUGAUAGCUAUUCGAAUUUAUUUUGGAAAAUAUUUAUUUAGAAAUUUUGAGAGAAAUCAAUCCGAUCGACUCAUUUGUCUCCUAUUUUGAUCUCGCAUUUAGUUUAUUAUAUUUUUUUGAGUUUCUAAAGUUUGUAAUUGUAUUUAAAAGUUUUCUUUUCUUGUCAAUAAAAAUUGACUAUCAUAUGUUCAAAUUUGAUCUCAUUAUUCCGUCCUGCCCUCACUUCAGGAAAAUCACCUCAUAUUUUUGAUUACGCACUUCGAGUGUGUUGGCGCCCGAACCCAGGCGUCCCGACGAGCAUCUGGCACCCGAAAUUUGUGGCUUGAUCUGCUGAGGCUCGAUCCUUUCCAGAAAGCUCGCUUUCUGACGACCGGGAUCGUACGAGUUCUCACUUUUCCUCGCCACACCCCGGACCCCCCUUUGUGCUGGAGGGUAUUCCAUACCCCCCAGACCCCCCGGUGUCAGAUGGACGCUCAGACACUCGCUCACCCAACCAAGCCCCCCCCCCCCCCCGAAAUAAAAUCCUGGAUACGUGCCUGAUCUCCAUUGUGGUGUAUCCGAAUUUUCGCCAUUAUUUUAUUUCUUUAAAGAGAAAGAAGUCAACCUUUAAUUGAAAAUUUAUAUAGAAUAUUCUGCUGACAGAGGCGAAUUAUCAAGAGAGUUUUCAAUAAAUUUUGUUGACCAGUUUUCUAAAGAAAUAAUGAGGUAUGACAGGAAGUCUGCAACUUUGCAAUCGUAGAAACGUGGUUUUGCACUUUGGGCAUCGAUAAAAUACGUCGUAUUUGUAUGUUUAUUUGCAUUAUUUUUAUAUUCCAUCCAAUGUCGCGGAGAUGGAGAUGAUCCGAAAAUUUCGCAGGCCUUGGGGUUGCCCCCUUUGUCCUGCUGCCGUGAAAAGAGAGAACGCCAUGUAAACAUUCAGAUGCACCAAAAGUUUCCAUGAUUAAAUAUUAGUUUUUGGGAAAAAAGUAGAAUUAUUUUCCUUUAAAUUUUCAGAUACAUAGGACUGCAAUGAGCAUUGAAUGCUCUGGAAAUUUGGGCAAAAUUACUCAAAAAUUGUCCAUCAAAUCGUACUUCAUCAAAAAAAAUUUGACAAUUUUCGAAGAUUCAAC
rnacentral:lncRNA from 1 species